AACACGGAGCGACCGGCGUAAACGCGCCUGGAAUAUCAGAGCAGCCAUCACCGCCCGCUCCGCUCGACGGCGGAGG
rnacentral:SRP_RNA from 13 species